rnacentral:rRNA from 1 species
UAGGGAAUCUUCCGCAAUGGNCGAAAGUCUGANGGAGCAACGCCGCGUGAGUGAUGAAGGCUUUCGGGUCGUAAAACUCUGUUGUUAGGGAAGAACAAGUACGAGAGUAACUGCUCGUACCUUGACGGUACCUAACCAGAAAGCCCCGGCUAACUACGUGCCAGCAGCCGCGGUAAUACGUAGGUGGCAAGCGUUAUCCGGAAUUAUUGGGCGUAAAGCGCGCGCAGGCGGUUUCUUAAGUCUGAUGUGAAAGCCCCCGGCUCAACCGUGGAGGGUCAUUGGAAACUGGGGAACUUGAGUGCAGAAGAGAAAAGCGGAAUUCCACGUGUAGCGGUGAAAUGCGUAGAGAUGUGGAGGAACACCAGUGGCGAAGGCGCNUCUCUGGUCUGUAACUGACGCUGAGGCGCGAAAGCGUGGGGAGCAAACAGGAUUAGAUACCCUGGUAGUCCACGCCGUAAACGAUGAGUGCUAAGUGUUAGAGGGUUUCCGCCCUUCAGUGCUGCAGCUAACGCAUGAAGCACUCCGCCUGGGGAUACGGCGCAG